GAUGAACGCUGGCGGCGUGCCUAAUACAUGCAAGUCGAGCGAACAGACGAGGAGCUUGCUCCUCUAACGUUAGCGGCGGACGGGUGAGUAACACGUGGAUAACCUACCUAUAAGACUGGGAUAACUUCGGGAAACCGGAGCUAAUACCGGAUAAUAUAUUGAACCGCAUGGUUCAAUAGUGAAAGACGGUUUUGCUGUCACUUAUAGAUGGAUCCGCGCCGCAUUAGCUAGUUGGUAAGGUAACUGCUUACCAAGGCAACGAUGCGUAGCCGACCUGAGAGGGUGAUCGGCCACACUGGAACUGAGACACGGUCCAGACUCCUACGGGAGGCAGCAGUAGGGAAUCUUCCGCAAUGGGCGAAAGCCUGACGGAGCAACGCCGCGUGAGUGAUGAAGGUCUUCGGAUCGUAAAACUCUGUUAUUAGGGAAGAACAAAUGUGUAAGUAACUAUGCACGUCUUGACGGUACCUAAUCAGAAAGCCACGGCUAACUACGUG
rnacentral:rRNA from 1 species